rnacentral:rRNA from 1 species
GUCGAGAAUCUUCCGCAAUGCGCGAAAGCGUGACGGAGCGACACCGCGUGAUGGAUGAAGUCCUUCGGGGCGUAAACAUCUUUUAUAAAGGAGGAAAUUUUUGACGUUACUUUAUGAAUAAGGGGCUCCCAAUCUCGUGCCAGCAGGAGCGGUAAUACGAGAGCCUCAAGCGUUAUCCGGAAUCAUUGGGCGUAAAGGGUGCGUAGGUGGUUUGAUUAGUCUCCCGUUAAAACUUCGAGCUUAACUAGAAAAGAGCGGGGGAAACGGUCAAACUAGAGUAUGUGAGAGGUGUGUGGAACUCAUGGUGUAGGGGUGAAAUCCGUUGAUAUCAUGGGGAACACCAAAAGCGAAGGCAGCACACUGGCACAUCACUGACACUGAGGCACGAAACCUAAGGUAGCGAAUGGGAUUAGAAACCCGAGUAGUCC